rnacentral:tRNA from 1 species
GGCUCGGUAGCUUAGUUGGUAAAGCACUUUGGCUAGCGAAUAAGGGUCGUGAGUUCAAAUCUCACAUGAGCUG